CAGGACCAAACCGAGGUUCAGUCCCUGGAAGUCAAGAAGCUUUUUGAAGAAUACAACAAAAUGAUGUUCCUGCUGUCCAAGCAGUUCACCCAGUGGGACGAGACCCUGAGGAAGAUGGAGGAGGCCAAGGGCAUCCGGCCUGUGGAGUAGUUACUGUCAACACGCACUUCUGAUGAGGAUGGUGACGGUGAAGCAGACUACACUGUGGUGGGAGCUUCACACCUGACGAGUGUUCUAUAUGUAGCUUGUUCUUCCCCAAUGUGUCAGAACAAAAUGAGACUAAAGGAAUCCAACAUUU